rnacentral:rRNA from 1 species
CAGUCGCCACGGUAAUACGAAGGGGGCUAGCGUUGUUCGGAAUCACUGGGCGUAAAGGGUGCGUAGGCGGAUUCUUAAGUCAGGGGUGAAAUCCCGAGGCUCAACCUCGGAACUGCCUUUGAUACUGGGGAUCUUGAGUCCGGAAGAGGUGAGUGGAACUGCGAGUGUAGAGGUGAAAUUCGUAGAUAUUCGCAAGAACACCGGUGGCGAAGGCGGCUCACUGGUCCGGAACUGACGCUGAGGCACGACAGCGUGGGGAGCAAACAGGAUUAGAUACCCCUGUAGUCCCUGUCUCUUAUAA